rnacentral:lncRNA from 1 species
CCACAACCACUGCCUCACCAUACACAACCUCCACAAUGCACACCACAACCCAUCCGCCCGCGUCCACAGCUUGGACACUCCCAAGUCAAUGAGAGAGACAUGGUCUGACAACAGACUGUCGGUGCCAGUGUAUCCUGAUGAAGACUAUAACGUCCCGUACAACUCUGCUGCUGCCAACCUGUCCGGUCAGCAGGCCCUGGAUCUGGCCCUCAGGGGCGAAAAGUCUACCUGCAGGGUGCGUACUGCUCCACGGCGACACUGCUGGCCUCAGGAUGUGACCAGUGAGGAGGGUUAUAAUGGAGACUCCAG